rnacentral:rRNA from 3 species
AGGAUUCUCCUAGUAACGGCGAGUGAACGGAGAUUAGCCCAUCACCGAAGUCCGGUGCUUUUGCAUACAGGACAAUGUGGUGUUAAAGCUCAUACCUGGGACUGUGAGUCUACCCGAAGUCCAACUCCGAUUGUGGCUUUGGAUAUUGCCCACAGCGGGUGAAAGGCCCGUACGGGUAGACUCUUGCUCGUUUACAGUCCUCAGAUGUGUUGGCUAUCGAGUCGGAUUGCUUGAGAAUGCAGUCCAAAGUGGGUGGUAAACUCCAUCCAAGGCUAAAUACUGGCACGAGUCCGAUAGUAGACAAGUACCGUGAGGGAAAGUUGAAAAGUACUCUGAAGAGAGAGUAAAUAGUACGUGAAGCCGGUUGCAGAGAAGCUGGUGGAGUCAAGCUUCAUGCUUGAGGGAUUUGUGUCUGUAGCAUUAUGGUGAUACGGACAAUUGGCUGAUCAACUUGGAAUAAGUUGGGCGCAUUCGUGUGCUUCAAGUCAUUCCGGGCUGUGUGUUUGGGUUGGCCAUAUUGUUCCGCUGCUGGCACUCUAUCCUUCGCCGCAUAAAUCACGGUCGAUAGCAUUGCCCGUGUGCUGUAUGGUUGUCUAACUGUGCUUUGGCAGGCUUCAUUGUCUGUCGGGUGCAGGAUGGCAGGUGGUGGCAUCGGGCCUCGUGUUCGUUGCCUCUUAUAGUGGUCUUGACCGGCCGAUGACCAUGCAUUAUCACAGCUAUCGUUGUUCUAUGAUGAUCAGCCAUUUGGCCGGUUGUCAGGUUAGAACCGUGGUUCUGAGGUAGA